rnacentral:rRNA from 1 species
ACGCACGCUGGCGGCGUGCUUCACACCUGCCAGUCGAACGGUGAACGAGGGAGCUUGCUCCCUCCGGAUCAGUGGCGAACGGGUGAGUAACACGUGAGCAAUCUGCCCCGAACUCUGGGAUAAGCGUUGGAAACGACGUCUAAUACCGGAUACGACGCGGGAGGGCAUCCUCUCCGCGUGGAAAGAACUUCGGUUCGGGAUGAGCUCGCGGCCUAUCAGCUUGUUGGUGAGGUAACGGCUCACCAAGGCGACGACGGGUAGCCGGCCUGAGAGGGUGACCGGCCACACUGGGACUGAGACACGGCCCAGACUCCUACGGGAGGCAGCAGUGGGGAAUAUUGCACAAUGGGCGCAAGCCUGAUGCAGCAACGCCGCGUGAGGGACGACGGCCUUCGGGUUGUAAACCUCUUUUAGCAGGGAAGAAGCGAAAGUGACGGUACCUGCAGAAAAAGCACCGGCUAACUACGUG